rnacentral:rRNA from 1 species
UACGUAGGUGGCGAGCGUUGUCCGGAUUUACUGGGCGUAAAGAGCGCGCAGGCGGUCGGCCAAGUCGAGUGUGAAAGACCCCGGCUCAACUGGGGAGGGUCGUGCGAAACGGGUGAACUAGAGGCCAGUAGGGGGAUGCGGAAUUCCGGGUGUAGUGGUGGAAUGCGUAGAGAUCCGGAGGAACACCAGCGGCGAAGGCGGCAUCCUGGACUGGUCCUGACACUCAGGAGCGAAAGCGUGGGGAGCGAUCCGG